rnacentral:lncRNA from 1 species
UGCAGAACGCCUGGUUUCGGAAGUCACGCUUCAAAGGAGGGAAAGGCAAAAAGCUGAACAUCGGUGGAGGAGGCUUGGGCUAUAGAGAGCGGCCUGGGCUGGGCUCUGAGAAUUCGGACCGAGGAAGUAACAACAAUGUAAUGAGCAAUUAUGAAGCCUACAAGCCCUCCACAGGAGCCAUGGGAGAUAGGCUGACAGCAAUGAAAGCAGCUUUCCAGGUCUGAAAUAAAUAAAUAUCCUGUUUUAAAAACUUUCAAGAGGGAGGGGGCUAGAGAGAUGGUUCAGUAGAUAAGAGAACUUGUAUUCUUUCAGAGGAUCCAGGUUUGUUUUCUUAGCACUCACAGCAUUUUACAGUCAUCUUUGUUCAGCUCCAGGUAAUCUGACACCCUCUUGUGGCCUGCACAGGUAUCGGCAUGCAUGUGCCAUACAUGCAUACAUACGGUAUUCACAGGCAAAAAUCACUAUGACACUUAUAAAUAAAUCUUUUUUAAAAAAACAAAAAACAAAACAACCAAACCAAAAAAAAAAAAAAAAAA